UACGUAGGGUCCGAGCGUUGUCCGGAAUUACUGGGCGUAAAGAGCUCGUAGGUGGUUUGUCGCGUUGUUCGUGAAAACUCACAGCUCAACUGUGGGCGUGCGGGCGAUACGGGCAGACUUGAGUACUGCAGGGGAGACUGGAAUUCCUGGUGUAGCGGUGAAAAUGCGCAGAUAUCAGGAGGAACACCGAUGGCGAAGGCAGGUCUCUGGGCAUUAACUGACGCUGGAGGAGCGGAAAGCAUGGGGAGCGAACAGG
rnacentral:rRNA from 1 species